rnacentral:rRNA from 1 species
UACAGAGGUCUCAAGCGUUGUUCGGAUUCAUUGGGCGUAAAGGGUGCGUAGGCGGCGCGGUAAGUCGGGUGUGAAAUCUCGGGGCUUAACUCCGAAACUGCAUUCGAUACUACCGUGCUUGAGGACUGGAGAGGAGACUGGAAUUUACGGUGUAGCGGUGAAAUGCGUAGAUAUCGAGAGGAACACCUGCGGCGAAGGCGGGUUGCUGGGCUGAUACUGACGCUGAGGCGCGAAAGCUAAGGGAGCGAACGGG